UGGGGAAUAUUGGACAAUGGGCGAAAGCCUGAUCCAGCCAUGCCGCGUGAGUGACGAAGGCCUUAGGGUUGUAAAACUCUUUCGUCGGGGACGAUAAUGACGGUACCCGAAGAAGAAGCUCCGGCUAACUUCGUGCCAGCAGCCGCGGUAAUACGAAGGGAGCUAGCGUUGUUCGGAAUCACUGGGCGUAAAGCGCACGUAGGCGGAUAGUUAAGUCAGGGGUGAAAUCCUGGGGCUCAACCCCAGAACUGCCUUUGAUACUGGCUGUCUCGAGGUCGAGAGAGGUUGGUGGAAUUCCCAGUGUAGAGGUGAAAUUCGUAGAUAUUGGGAAGAACACCAGUGGCGAAGGCGGCUAACUGGUCCGGUACUGACGCUGAGGUGCGAAAGCGUGGGGAGCAAACAGGAUUAGAUACCCCAGUAGUCCCUGAGCGGGCUGGCAAGGCGCAU
rnacentral:rRNA from 1 species